rnacentral:rRNA from 1 species
CUGUCUUAUCUAUAGUAUUUGAAUUUGACUUUUAAGUGAAAAGGCUUAAGUAUAAUAAAGGGACGAUAAGACCCUAUAAAACUUAAUAUAACAUAUAUUAAAUUUUAAAGUUGGUUGGUUUAAUAAGAGGUAAUAUAAGAUUAUUUUAUUGGGGCGAUAGGAAUAUAAAUUUAACUGUUCUUUUUAAAAACAAUUAUUUUUGGUCUAGAAGAUCCUUAUUUUGAGAUUAAAAGAUAAAGUUACUUUAGGGAUAACAGCGUAAUCUUUUUUGAGAGCCCGUAUCGACAAAAGGGAUUGCGACCUCGAUGUUGAAUUAAAAUUUCUUUAUAAUGCAGCAGUUAUAUAAGAAGGUCUGUUCGACCUUUAAAUUUUUA